UUUUUUUUUUUUUGCAUGUGCAUGUAUGUACUUAUUCGAGUUGGUUUGUAUAUGUGCAUGCAGAGGUUGACUUGAAGUGUGUUCCUCAAUUGCUCUUUGAUUUAUGUUCUGAAGCCAUGUCUUGAUGAGCCUGGAGCUUGCAGGUUGGUUAAGAUCACUUGCUAAUCUGCCUCCAGAGAUCCUUUGCCUCCACUUCCCAAUCACUGGGAUUGCCCAGUUGGUUUUUAUGUAGCUACAGAAAACCCAGUUUUCCUGCUUCCAUGGCAAACAUUUCAUCUACUGAGCUAUAUCCAUAGCUCAGUUUUUUUUUUAAUAUUAUUUGGCUAUGAUUAUCUUGGUUGCUUCAAAAGUCAAAUUCAUUUUUUUUGUUUGCUGUUGUUUUUUGUUUUUAGAAACAGGGAUUCUCUGUAUAGCCCUGCUGUCCUGGAACUCAUGCUGCAGAUGAGGCUGACCCUUGAAGUGAGAGAGCUGCUUGCCCCUGCCUUCUUACUGCUGAGAUUAAAGGUCUGUGUAUCAUUUUUGAGAUAAACUCAGUGUAAACUAUAAGGCAAAGACAUGUUCGAAUUUAAUCUACAUAUAACACCCAGCAUGGAGAGAAUCAGAAACCAAGAGCAUGGUGUACUCAGUCUAACCCACAGGUUAUGGUAAGAACCAUUUGAACAUUUCUUGGUCGGGAUUGUUCUGCUUUUGUGUGUUUCUUCUGUCUUUUGGCUGUGAGUGACCUGCCGAUCUGUACACAUCAGAGUGCCAGGCGGCGUCCUGUGCUGUCCAAGUUUUCCCAGAUACUUUCUUGAGUCAAAGCUGACUUUCAUUCAAAUGUCAUGCUGUCCCCUGCAACAGUUCACAGUCUAUGUAGACUCCACGAUAUGUUUGUAUGUAUGUGGGUCAGGUUCUUUUCACAGCUGUCAAUUCUCCAGAUCAUGUGAUCUGCUGUGAAUUUUCCACCCACAGUUCAAGGAUGCUUUGCCCAUUGCUUUGGCUGGUGUCUCUGUGUAAGUGGCCAGGGCUGCAGUGGGAAGGCUUUAGAGACACCCAAGACUGUUGAUGAACAGAUCAGUUUCCUUUUAGGAGACACUUAACCUUGAAGUCCCAAUCCACCAGUACUAAGGUAUCCUAAAUACUGUCUUCUUGCAGCUUAGUGGAAUAGGCUGACACUUCAAAUGUCAUUAUAAGUGUGUGACCAAGCACACACACACAAACAAACAAACACAAUUUAUGACUUGCAAACACAAGCAGUGACAAUUUGAAUUUUAACUGGA
rnacentral:lncRNA from 1 species